rnacentral:rRNA from 1 species
GUGGGGAAUAUUGGACAAUGGGCGAAAGCCUGAUCCAGCCAUGCCGCGUGCAGGAAGAAGGCCUUCGGGUUGUAAACUGCUUUUGUACGGAACGAAACGGUCCGGGUUAAUACCCUGGGCUAAUGACGGUACCGUAAGAAUAAGCACCGGCUAACUACGUGCCAGCAGCCGCGGUAAUACGUAGGGUGCAAGCGUUAAUCGGAAUUACUGGGCGUAAAGCGUGCGCAGGCGGUUAUAUAAGACAGAUGUGAAAUCCCCGGGCUCAACCUGGGAACUGCAUUUGUGACUGUAUAGCUAGAGUACGGUAGAGGGGGAUGGAAUUCCGCGUGUAGCAGUGAAAUGCGUAGAGAUCUGGAGGAAUACCGAUGGCGAAGGCAGCCAUCUGGCCUAAUACUGACACUGAGGUGCGAAAGCAUGGGGAGCAAACAGGAUUAGAAACCCCAGUAGUCC